GACGAACGCUGGCGGCGUGCCUAACACAUGCAAGUCGAACGAAGUGGCGAACGGGUGAGUAAUACGUGGGUAACCUGCCCUCCUUUUUGGGAUAAGCCUUGGAAACGGGGUCUAAUACCGAAUAAAGGGGGAUGGGCUAGCGGCCUAUCAGCUGGUUGGGGGGGUGAUGGCCUACCAAGGAGGUGACGGGUAGCCGGCCUGAGAGGGUGACCGGACACGUUGGACGUGCGAGACGGCCCAGACAGCUACGGGAGGGAGCAGUGGGGGAAAUUGCACAAGGGUGGAAAGGCUGAGCCGGGGGCGCCGCGUGGGGGUUGGAGGCGUUCGGGUUGUUAACCGGUUACGCUAUCGAACGGGUAGGUGGAGAAGAAGCGCCGGCUAACUACGUGCCAGCAGCCGCGGUAAUAC
rnacentral:rRNA from 1 species